GAUGAAGGUGCACUUUUCGUGAAGGUGCACCGUGCCAUUUGAUCAGAGAUUACAUUUUUAUCAAGAUCGAGAAGUGGUUAAUCUAAGUUUUUUUUUCAAAACACGCAUAAGUCUGAAAAAUAAUAUUGGAUCAUGGUUAUGAAAAGAUUUUUAAAACGAUGGUUUGGCGUGACAACAAAAGACCAAGCACAAGCUAUAAACCGAAAACUUUCAAUAAUCUACGCUAUCGUGGGAUGGCAUUGUUUUGGUUUUAUGUUUUAUUCUAUUGUAAAAAACAGACUUCCAGACGAUGGUUCAAAUCAAAGAUCGCUGUACAAAUAUCUAAUCGAUGGAUCUACCAACUUGCAAGUAUAUGAAGUGAAAGGAUUCAAACUUAGCAACAAGUAUGACAUUAGCAGCGACACCGAGGACAUUUACGAGGAGGGAAAAGAGACUGAAUGAAACAGAAACCUCCAGACCACGCUUCGAAAGCAAGAAAACAUGUUGUAGGUAACACAAUAAUUAUUUAUCAGAACUUGAUCGUCUAUAAAUAUGUAAAUAUAUAUAUGUAUAUAUAUGUAGCGCGUAUAACAAAGCGUUAUUAUUCAAAAAUAUAAAUUUCGUCAAACUUGUAAUAUCUUA